GUCUACGGCCUUACCACCCUGAACGCACCCGAUCUCGUCUGAUCUCGGAAGCUAAGCAGGGUCGGGCCUGGUUAGUACUUGGAUGGGAGAGGCCAAGGCCAAAGGUAUGUAAGAUCAGGAGUUUGAGAUC
rnacentral:rRNA from 1 species